rnacentral:rRNA from 1 species
UACGUAGGGUGCAAGCGUUAAUCGGAAUUACUGGGCGUAAAGCGUGCGCAGGCGGCUAUGCAAGACAGAUGUGAAAUCCCCGGGCUCAACCUGGGAACUGCAUUUGUGACUGCAUGGCUAGAGUGUGUCAGAGGGGGGGUAGAAUUCCACGUGUAGCAGUGAAAUGCGUAGAGAUGUGGAGGAAUACCGAUGGCGAAAGGCAGCCCCCCUGGGAUAACACUGA